rnacentral:rRNA from 1 species
CGGCGGGUGCUAACGUCCGUCGUGAAGAGGGAAACAACCCAGACCGCCAGCUAAGGUCCCAAAGUCAUGGUUAAGUGGGAAACGAUGUGGGAAGGCACAGACAGCCAGGAUGUUGGCUUAGAAGCAGCCAUCAUUUAAAGAAAGCGUAAUAGCUCACUGGUCGAGUCGGCCUGCGCGGAAGAUGUAACGGGGCUAAACCAUGCACCGAAGCUGCGGCAGCGACACUAUGUGUUGUUGGGUAGGGGAGCGUUCUGUAAGCCUGCGAAGGUGGCCUGUGAGGGCUGCUGGAGGUAUCAGAAGUGCGAAUGCUGACAUAAGUAACGAUAAAGCGGGUGAAAAGCCCGCUCGCCGGAAGACCAAGGGUUCCUGUCCAACGUUAAUCGGGGCAGGGUGAGUCGACCCCUAAGGCGAGGCCGAAAGGCGUAGUCGAUGGGAAACAGGUUAAUAUUCCUGUACUUGGUGUUACUGCGAAGGGGGGACGGAGAAGGCUAUGUUAGCCGGGCGACGGUUGUCCCGGUUUAAGCAUGUAGGCGGAGGUUCCAGGUAAAUCCGGUACCUUUUAACGCUGAGGUGUGAUGACGAGGCACUACGGUGCUGAAGUAACAAAUGCCCUGCUUCCAGGAAAAGCCUCUAAGCAUCAGGUAACAUUAAAUCGUACCCCAAACCGACACAGGUGGUCAGGUAGAGAAUACCAAGGCGCUUGAGAGAACUCGGGUGAAGGAACUAGGCAAAAUGGUGCCGUAACUUCGGGAGAAGGCACGCUGGUG